AACGAACGCUGGCGGCAGGCCUAACACAUGCAAGUCGAGCGAGGACUUCGGUCCUAGCGGCGGACGGGUGAGUAACGCGUGGGAACGUGCCCUUUGCUUCGGAAUAGCCCUGGGAAACUGGGAGUAAUACCGGAUGAGCCCUUUUGGGGAAAGAUUUAUCGGCGAAGGAUCGGCCCGCGUUGGAUUAGGUAGUUGGUGGGGUAAUGGCCUACCAAGCCGACGAUCCAUAGCUGGUUUGAGAGGAUGAUCAGCCACACUGGGACUGAGACACGGCCCAGACUCCUACGGGAGGCAGCAGUGGGGAAUCUUAGACAAUGGGGGAAACCCUGAUCUAGCCAUGCCGCGUGAGCGAUGAAGGCCUUAGGGUUGUAAAGCUCUUUCAGCUGGGAAGAUAAUGACGGUACCAGCAGAAGAAGCCCCGGCUAACUCCGUG
rnacentral:rRNA from 1 species